GCCGGUAUAGCUCAGUUGGUAGAGCAGCGCAUUCGUAAUGCGAAGG
rnacentral:tRNA from 1 species